rnacentral:rRNA from 1 species
UACAGAGGUUCCAAGCGUUGUUCGGAUUCAUUGGGCGUAAAGGGUGUGUAGGUGGCGCUGUAAGUCGGGUGUGAAAUCUCGGGGCUUAACUCCGAAACUGCAUUCGAUACUGCGGUGCUUGAGGACUGGAGAGGAGACUGGAAUUCAUGGUGUAGCAGUGAAAUGCGUAGAGAUCAUGAGGAAGACCAGUGGCGAAGGCGGGUCUCUGGACAGUACCUGACACUGAGACACGAAGGCCAGGGGAGCAAACGGG